rnacentral:rRNA from 1 species
UAAGGAAUAUUGCUCAAUGGGAGAAAUCCUGAAGCAGCAACGCCGCGUGAGUGAUGAAGGCCUUCGGGUUGUAAAGCUCUGUCUUUUGGGACGAUAAUGACGGUACCAAAGGAGGAAGCCACGGCUAACUACGUGCCAGCAGCCGCGGUAAUACGUAGGGUGCAAGCGUUAAUCGGAAUUACUGGGCGUAAAGCGUGCGCAGGCGGUUCGGAAAGAAAGGUGUGAAAUCCCAGGGCUUAACCUUGGAACUGCACUUUUAACUACCGGGCUAGAGUACGUCAGAGGGGGGUAGAAUUCCACGUGUAGCAGUGAAAUGCGUAGAGAUGUGGAGGAAUACCGAUGGCGAAGGCAGCCCCCUGGGAUGAUACUGACGCUCAUGCACGAAAGCGUGGGGAGCAAACA